rnacentral:lncRNA from 1 species
UGGAUCCUACUGAGAGGUGGACUUCACAGAGAUAAAACCAGGAAAAUAUGAUUUUAAAUGUCUCCUAGUGUUUAUAGAUAUCUUUUCAGGAAUAGGUAGAAGCUUUCCCCACCAAGCAAGAGACGGCCUCAAUAGUCAUCAAGAAGAUACUAGAAGAAAUCUUCUCCCUGUUUGGAGUGCCCAAGGUAAUUGGGUCAGACAAUGGCCCUGCCUUCAUUGUCAAGGUAAGCCAGGGUGUGGCCAGGUAUUUAGAGGUCAAUUAAAAAUUAUAUUACAUCUAAAGACCUCAAAGUUCAGGACAGAUAGAGAGAAUAAAUAAAAUUUUAAAAGAGACCCUGACCAAAUUGACCAUGGAGACUGGCGCAAACUGGGUGGCACUCCUUCCCUCUUGCUCUCUUCAGAGCAAGAAAUGCCCCUUCCAGAUUCAGCCUUACCCACAUCCCCGAAG